ensembl:lncRNA
UGGGAUUUUUUCGCUCAUUUCAUCCGCCACCGGUCUGAUUGUGUUUUUCCUUGUCAAACGUAGUACUUUAGGCUUAGGAGUUUCUUCACAACUGAACCCCAGGUUUUAUGAUCCAGGAUAGCGAUGCCGCCUUCGCAGGAGGAGGGAAAGAUGGAGCAUCCUUAUGCUGUAGGUUUCUUGCAUCUCAAGGACGGCGGGACACAGGCGGUCUUUUGUAUGCAGGUGUAAUGAGAGUCUCCCACACCCUGUUUCCCUAUCCAUCUCUUGCUUUGAGUUUGUGACUGGAAAACUAAGCAGAGAUUCACCUCAAAGGACAAUUAAAUUUCCCUUUAGAUGGCUUCAGUUAUAGAGGUUCCUCUCAGCCAAGGGCUUGCUUGCUUGGUAACUAAAUGGGAACGUAUACAAACUCUGUUUUUCCUCCCUCCCCGUCUCCAUUCACACAAUCUCUCUUUCUUUUCUGGCCAAGAGGUUCAAUGUGCCAUCUCCCAAAAGCAAUUGAGCAGCGCCGCAGCAAUACUGCCCAUAACUAGCCGGUAGGGAAAGCGUCCAGAAGAUAUAACAGUAGUCUAUCUUCCCGCUGGGCACCAGAGUUUUAUUAAAAUUAAGGUUAAAAGUCCAGUCAUUUCGAAGAUGGCUGGAAACUCAAAUUAAAUUGACCAAAGGGGAUUCAAUUACAAAAAAAAGAACAAAAAUUCCAUGACACUACCAAGUUUUGGAUUAGAAAGUGGC